rnacentral:rRNA from 1 species
GACGAACGCUGGCGGCGUGCUUAACACAUGCAAGUCGAACGGAAAGGCCCUGCUUUUGUGGGGUGCUCGAGUGGCGAACGGGUGAGUAACACAUGAGUAACCUUCCCUUGACUUUAGGAUAACUUCAGGAAACUGGGGAUAACACCGGCUAGGAGCUCCUGCUGCAGGGUGGGGGUUGGAAAGUUUCGGCGGUUGGGGAUGGACUCGCGGCUUAUCAGCUUGUUGGUGGGGUAGUGGCUUACCAAGGCUUUGACGGGUGGCCGGCCUGAGAGAGUGACCGGGCACAUGGGGACUGCGAUACGGAGCAGACGGCAACGGUAGGCAGUAGUGGAGAGUAUUGCACAAUGGGCGGGAGCCUGUGGCAGCAACGCUGCGUGCGGGAUGACGGCCUUGGGGUUGUAAAGCGCUGUCGCCUGUGACGAAGCGUGAGUGACGGUAAUGGGUAAAGAAGCACCGGCUAACUACGUG